GUGUCCCAAUGGUGUCCCAAUGGUGUCCCCACCGUGUCCCCACGGUGUCCUAAUGGUGUCCCCACGGUGUCUCCAUGGUGUCCCCAUGGUGUCCCCACGGUGUCCCCAUGGUGUCCCUAUGGUGUCCCCCUGGUGUCCCCAUGGUGUCACUAUGGUGUCCCAAUGGUGUCCCCAUGGUGUCCCAAUGGUGUCCCUAUGGUGUCCCCAUGGUGUCCUCACGGUGUCCCAAUGGUGUCCCCAUGGUUUCCCCACAGUGUCCCCACAGGUUUGGAAGCUGAAGCAGAUCAAGCCCACACUCAAUGAGAAGCGCAUCCUCCAGGCCGUCACCUUCCCCUUCCUUGUGCGCCUCGAGUCAUCCUUCAAGGUGUCCCCUGCCCCCCCUGGACGUGCCUCGUGCCCCCCAUCAGGACAACUCCAACCUCUACAUGGUCAUGGAAUGCAUCUGGGGGGCGGGAGAUGUUCUCCCACCUGCGCCCCAUUGGCCACUUCAGCGAGCCCCACACCCGCUUCUACGCAGCCCAAAUCUUGGUGACCUCGGAGUCCCUGCACGCGAUGG